AUCCAUUCACGAUCUGAGGGUUUCAUGGAGGUGUUUCUGCAGACGGUGGAUCCAUUCACGAUCUGAGGGUUUCAUGGAGGUGUUUCUGCAACAUCUCAGUUUCUCUUCACUUAUUGGUUUGCUGGAAACCAAAGCUAAGUUCUGUCAAAGAUUUUGGCCAAAAUGUGACAAUUUCACAUUUUCAGAAGUUGGAAAUUUUGGAUUAUCAUCUUCGAAAUCUCUCGUGAAGCCAUUUUAAGGGUUCAGUAUCUCCAGAAGUUAAACUCCUACAGCCAUGAAAAGUGGUGAGGACUCAGACGGGAUAGUUUCCAUCAGAUCACAAUGAUUGAAUGGAUCCAGACAAGGACAAUUUUUUAAAUAACUGGCUCUUAAACAUGGAACAAAGUGCAAACUUUUCAAUCCAGACUAAUAAUUUGUCUCCAAAAAGUUCCUGUAAGACUAUAUCUGUGGAUGGAUCCAUAUUUCUACUAAAAUGCAUUCUUUGGUCGACAUUUCUCCAACUGUUGAGGCUCUAACAUCAGUAGAUUCUGAUGUGGAGAAAGUUGAAUCAGACAAGGUUCCAGUUUUUUUGCUAUUUUGACCUAAAUAAUGUUCAAAAAUGAGUACAAAGUGUCCCAAACAACUUGAAAUUUAUCCAAAAUUACCCAGAAAUUGUCCAAAAUGGCAAAGAAUGAAAAUAUUGAGCAAUUAUUGGAUCUUGAAAAUGGGGGAAAAGAUGGUAAGUUUGGUAAGACAAGGUUCUCAUUUUUGCAGGUUUGACGUGAAACAUGCCUAAAUUGAGUAGAAAUUAUCCCAAAUAACUUGAAAGUCAUCAAGAAUGUCCCAGGAAACUUAUUAUUUGUCCAGAAUGACUUCAAAAUGGUCCAAAAUGUCAAUAAUGAAUAACUAUUGGACCUUGAAAAUGGAAAAAAAGAGAAAGCAACAUGUUUAGCAGAGGUUGACUUUGACUGCUCUCCUGACUUAUUGAUUCGAACUUGGAUUAGAUCCACAACCAACCAGUUCCCCAGGAAUAACUUCAAAUGGACAUUUUAUUUUCUCAAUUUAUUGGGCCCAUAGGUAUUACACUGUACCGUUGUUGUGUACUGUUGAAAUAGAUUUCUAAAACUAAAAGUUUACAAUACCAA